rnacentral:rRNA from 1 species
UGGGGAAUAUUGGACAAUGGGGGCAACCCUGAUCCAGCAAUGCCGCGUGUGUGAAGAAGGUCUUCGGAUUGUAAAGCACUUUCGACGGGGACGAUGAUGACGGUACCCGUAGAAGAAGCCCCGGCUAACUUCGUGCCAGCAGCCGCGGUAAUACGAAGGGGGCUAGCGUUGCUCGGAAUGACUGGGCGUAAAGGGCGUGUAGGCGGUUUACACAGUCAGAUGUGAAAUCCCCGGGCUUAACCUGGGAGCUGCAUUUGAUACGUGUAGACUAGAGUGUGAGAGAGGGUUGUGGAAUUCCCAGUGUAGAGGUGAAAUUCGUAGAUAUUGGGAAGAACACCGGUGGCGAAGGCGGCAACCUGGCUCAUGACUGACGCUGAGGCGCGAAAGCGUGGGGAGCGAGCAGGAUUAGAUACCCUGGUAGUCCACGCUGUAAACGAUGUGUGCUAGAUGUUGGGUAACUUUGUUAUUCAGUGUCGCAGUUAACGCGUUAAGCACACCGCCUGGGGAGUACGGCCGCAAGGUUGAAAC